rnacentral:lncRNA from 1 species
UGUGGUCUAAUGAACUUAAAAGUUUUUUUUUGCCUUUGAGCAAUUCACUAUGCUGUUGAAUAUUAAUCCCCUCAAAAAAAUGUUUGAAGAAAUUUUCUUUUUAUUUAUGAAAUCUGAAAUGAGAAAAAUUUAAACCCCCCCUUUUUUUCACAUCCCCGCUUCCCUUUUUCCAAAACUGAUAUCAAUUCAAAUUUCUAAUGAAGUUUGCAACAAUAACUACUCUUUUAAAUACAUCAUAAAAUAUUAAAAUGUAAAAUAAAGUGC